GAUGAACGCUGGCGGCAUGCCUAACACAUGCAAGUCGAUCGGUAAGGCUCUUCGGAGUACACGAGAGGCGGACGGCUGAGUAACGCGUAGGAACACACCCUGCAGUGAGGGAUAAGACACCGAAAGGUGUUCUAAUACCGAAUACGGUCUUCGGAUUAAAGCAUUUAUGCGCUGAAGGAGUGGCCUGCGUCAUAUUAGAUAGUUGUUGGGGUAAUGGCUCACCAAGUCGAUGAUGUGUAGCUGGUCUGAGAGGAUGAUCAGCCAGACUGGAACUGAGACACGGUCCAGACUCCUACGGGAGGCAGCAGUGAGGAAUAUGUCACGAUGAGCGAGAGCUUGAGGGAGCAAUGCCGCGUGCAGGAUGAAGGCCCUCGGGUUGUAAACUGCUUUUAUAAGAGAAGAUUAUGACGGUAACUUAUGAAUAAGGGACGGCUAACUACGUG
rnacentral:rRNA from 1 species